CGACCGGCGCACGGGUGAGUAACGCGUAUGCAACCUACCUAUCAGAGGGGAAUAACCCGGCGAAAGUCGGACUAAUACCGCAUAAAACAGGGGUUCCACAUGGAAAUAUUUGUUAAAGAAUUAUCGCUGAUAGAUGGGCAUGCGUUCCAUUAGAUAGUUGGUGAGGUAACGGCUCACCAAGUCCACGAUGGAUAGGGGUUCUGAGAGGAAGGUCCCCCACACUGGUACUGAGACACGGACCAGACUCCUACGGGAGGCAGCAG
rnacentral:rRNA from 1 species